GUGCCAGCCGCCGCGGUAAUACAGAGGGUGCAAGCGUUAAUCGGAAUUACUGGGCGUAAAGCGCGCGUAGGUGGUUCAGUAAGAUGGAAGUGAAAUCCCCGGGCUCAACCUGGGAACUGCUUUCAUAACUGCUGGGCUAGAGUACGGUAGAGGGUAGUGGAAUCUCCUGUGUAGCGGUGAAAUGCGUAGAUAUAGGAAGGAACACCAGUGGCGAAGGCGACUACCUGGACUGGUACUGACACUGAGGUGCGAAAGCGUGGGGAGCAAACAGGAGUAGAAGCCCCGUUAGUCC
rnacentral:rRNA from 1 species